AGCUACAAAAAAAUGAUAAUCUUUCAUAGCAAAUGUUUUGAGUUUCUGUUUACGCGGUUUGCUUUUUGAGAUAUACCUGGAUGCACAUCUAAAGAUAACACACUAUCAGGAACCACAGAUGAUGUAUGGAAUCAAGAUGAUAACAGAAGAUUUUGAUGUAACGUCAGUACAUUUUACAGUCAGUUUUUCCUGAUUUAUCAGUAAAGCAAAAAAAAAAACAAAACAUGCGUGUUAAGAAUGGAUUUCAACUUGAGGAUAAAUGAUGAUAACUUGAUGAUAUACUUGAUAAAUAUUCUCCUUCUUAGUCAAUAGAAAAAGUUUUACAUUUACAAAACAAUUUGCGAUAUAGGGCAUUAGGUUGGAUGUAUCAACAAAG